rnacentral:rRNA from 1 species
AUUGAACGCUGGCGGCAUGCCUUACACAUGCAAGUCGAACGGCAGCACGGGGCAACCUGGUGGCGAGUGGCGAACGGGUGAGUAAUGCAUCGGAACGUACCUUUCAGUGGGGGAUAACGUAGCGAAAGUUACGCUAAUACCGCAUAUUCUGUGAGCAGGAAAGCAGGGGAUCGCAAGACCUUGCGCUGAUUGAGCGGCCGAUGUCAGAUUAGCUAGUUGGUGAGGUAAAGGCUCACCAAGGCGACGAUCUGUAGCGGGUCUGAGAGGAUGAUCCGCCAGCCUGGAACUGAGAAACGGUCCAGACUCCGACGGGAGGCAGCAGUGGGGAAUUUUGGACAAUGGGGGCAACCCUGAUCCAGCCAUGCCGCGUGAGUGAAGAAGGCCUUCGGGUUGUAAAGCUCUUUCGGCCGGGAAGAAAUCGCACGGGCUAAUACCCUGUGUGGAUGACGGUACCGGAAUAAGAAGCACCGGCUAACUACGUGCCAGCAGCCGCCGUAAUAC